CCUGUUGAUGAUUAAAGUCCUAAGUUGAUCAUCUUAUUAGUCAUCAAAUCUUUAUAAAUCUUAUCUCUUUUCCUAAACCUAAAAAGAUUAGCCUUUAUGUAAAUAUCCUAAAAUCCAAUUAUUUCACCCUACACACUUAUUCUCUCUCUCUUCAUGGUUUUCUUUUUCCUCUCUUCACUCGUUUUUUCUUUCACCCGAAUCUGAUUGGCCAGAUUUCUCAUAGUUCCGUUAAUUUUUAGCCAAAACUUCUUUCUUGAAAGUUGUAGAUCUCGAAAAGUUAUUGAAGUUAGGCUCAAGAAUCACUCAAUUCCGAUUCUUAUUCUAUUAGUUAUGGCCUCUGCAAGUUUCGCAAUUCUGCUGCCAUAUUUCACUCGCGAAUUCGGCGGAGAAUUUAUAGUAGGGGACUUUUAGAGCAUAAAAGUGGCCUACCGUUGCGUUUAUACAAGAGUCAAGAAAGCAUUGACAUUACAGGUUCGAAGAUGCAUACCAUUGGGGAAUCUGGAAUGGAGAGGCUUUUGUGACAUUAGUAGUACUUAAAUUGUUCUAGGAAUUUAUUUUUCCAGACUUUAGCUUUAAGUUGGUG